rnacentral:misc_RNA from 1 species
GAUGAAGAACGUAGUGAAAUGCGAUAAGUAAUGUGAAUUGCAGAAUUCAGUGAAUCAUCGAAUCUUUGAACGCACAUUGCGCCCCUUGGUAUUCCGAGGGGCAUGCCUGUUCGAGCGUCAUUAUAACCCCUCAAGCUCAGCUUGGUGUUGGGGCCUGCUGCACUGGCAGCCCUUAAAAUCAGUGGCGGCGCCAUCUGGCUCUAAGCGUAGUAAUUCUUCUCGCUAUGGAGUCCUGGUGGAUGCUUGCCAUCAACCCCCAAUUUUUUUCAGGUUGACCUCGGAUCAGGUAGGGAUACCCGCUGAACUUAAGCAUAUCAAUAAGCGGAGGA